CAUCAGUUUAAAAAGGCACGGCUGUGCUCUGCAGUAAAUCUCCUUGUGCUGUCCCAGAGCAGUGCAGCUCCCUGGUCCUGCUGUCCCUGUGAUCCCAUGCCCUGGAUGCUCAGAGCUGUGUCCUCUCCUCUCUGCCAGGUGGAACAGGCUGCAGUGCCAUAAAUCUCCAGGCUGGCUCUUUCAGUUUAUCGAGGCUGAGUGGCUGUGGUGAUCCUCCAUAAACAACUCAGACGUGUGGAAGAUGAAUUUUAACGAGUGUUCUCAAAGCUAAGUGCUACCUCUUGCUUCUACACCUCAGAUUCACCCAUUUUUUUUUUAUUUUUAUGUGAUAUCAGAGGCUGCUCCGUGGUUUUUUCCCCCUAAUUACCUACACUCAAGCUGGAUUCUGUCAAACYCAGAGGACAGGGAAGGUAGCUGUGUACACAGAGCUGGGGUUUCCACCUGGCCUGACUGAUGCAAGGGUUUAAACUCCCCGUCAAAACACCUGGGCUUUUCAAGGGGAGGGAUUAGGAACUUGYGCCUAGGGAUUGUUUCGUUUGGUUUUGCCCGUGCAAAAGGCUUUUGUGUUUCGUGUCCUCUCUGUAAAAUGUUCAACCUUGUUCUAGGAAAGGCUCCAAAGUAAAUUAGAGSGGCCUCAGGGGCUGUUUUAAAUCAUAGCAGCUGAGCCUUAGCCCAGCAGUUGACGCUCCACCCUGCGUCUCUUCCACCAACACUCUCUGUAAUAACCUCAGCUCUUCACCUUCUCACACAGCUCUUUGCUUUGCAUCACUGGCAGGUUUCCCUAGGUAGGCUGGAAAAUCAUCAGAUCUGCAUCACAACAAGCAAAGAGAACGAGAAGCAGAGCCCACUGGCCUUGCUGGGAAGCAGGCAGUCACCAGUUACUGUAAUUCAGUAUUCCUGUUUAUAUUCCGGAGCACGCAGACUGACGGAGUAGGAAAAACACAGCUACAAUAAUUGCUCCUGGGUAUUGUGCUUUCAUUGACAAACACAACCACUCCUGAAGCUGCUGAGGACAAUUUCCCUGAACUCCCAGCAUUGUGCAAUUGCCCCUAUGCCUUUUUUGGGGUUUCCACUUUGCUCAGCUCUGGCAAAUACCAGACAGGGCAGGGAAAUUGAUGGAUCAGUGGAAUGAUCCAGUACCAAGAAAUCCAUGGUUACAAAAAUAGGCAGUUAUUCUUAUCAUUUCCUUGUUCUGACACAAUUUCCUGCYCUCCUCUCAGGCUGUUCUUCAGAARGCCARGAUGACAGAUCUGCUUUGGAGCCUGUCAAACCCCUGUGCAGAGCACCUCUCCUGCCUUGGAGAACAAUGGUUGGGAGCAGGGCGAGGAGCUGUGCUGUGCUAGCAGCCUUUGAUCACACCUGGCACAUCUCCAAACAGGGCCUGCUCGUGGGCACUGCUGGGCUUGAACAUUUCUGAUCCUAUCACACCAAAGUGUAGGAGCUGUGCUCUGCUUGCUACCCCAGAUUGCAMUUUAUGAGUAAAUGCCAGUUCCAACAGGCACAUUUCAAGGUACAGCUGAUGGAAAUGUUGUCAGUGCUGUUCAAACGGUGAAGCUGCACACAAACACGGGCAGGGGAUUGGAAAAGAGAGAAGAGGAACCUUGAGGAGAUUUGACUCCGGGGUUUUGAAAAGCCUUUCUCAGCUCAUACCUGAGGGGCUGUGUGCCAAGAAAUCUGCCAAGCCAAGCACUGURAAUGUCACUAAAGCUGGUGGGUGCAAACAGAAGAGCUCAAAAUUGUGAUAAGAGGAUCUUCAGAGCUUCUGGUGGUGCUUCCARGGAACACCUUCUGCUUGUAAGUGAGAAAUUGAUAAUGACAUCGUUAAUAAAAUCCAGAAGGAAAACAUUUGUGUGCAGGAACAGAAGAUGUACAGUGGCUCCUUAGACAGCACACUAAAGGGAUGUUAAACAGCACAGGRGGAGCCGUGAGCUCUCGGGAAGGUGUGUGACCCAGGGUGCUCCACRAACAACCUGGUGCUGAACGCUGUGGGAAACUCAUGAAGAAACACGCGUGGGACCACGGUUCAGCUGCAGACACACCAGGUUCUUCAGCCUCCUACCUCUGGGAAUGCAAAACUGAUUCAUUUUAUCUACAGGUACACC